ACUCCUUCCUGAGAGCCAGAGGCACAAGAUAAGGUCCAAGCCUCCUUUUGGUCAAGAGAACAGAACAACCCCUGGGAAACAAACCAGCCCAGGCCAAAUCUCCAACCCGAGAGGCUGAAUUCUGAACACAGCCAGUCUCAUAAAACCACUGUAUGCCUAAAAACUUGAAAAACCAAGGAGAAAGGGAAUCCUCCAUGUAAAAGUUUCUGCUUCCCUGUAGCAGCGGCAUAAACGCCACUGGGAAUCGGCUGGGAGCUACAUUCAGAGGGCCUGCAAAAUAAAUGAAGGUGAACGCGCUCUGUAAAGAGCUACCCAAGGUCCAAGCCAUCUGUCUCAACUCUGACACCCGCGGUACCUUACACAAGACAUUUCCCUACUGCGGACCUCAGUUUCUGUAUCUGCUAAAUUGGAAGGACUGCCCUUCAGAGAGGGCUCCAGAUCCGACAUCCUAAGAGACGAAAGGUCCAAUGCCUGGCCCCGCACUCUCCCAGAGGCCCCAGACUCAUCUGGACCCAGGUCUGCCUGGAACCCCGCCCCCGGCUGCGCUCGGGUCUCAACCCAGCUACCUGACGGCCGGCUGAAGAAGCGGCUGCGGGCGGCCUGACGGUGGCGGCAGAUGGCGGGGUUGCUGUCGCUGCUGUGGCCUUUCUUCCAGCGCUUCAACUUAGCUGAGACACCAGAAGGCAACUUUCCCGAGCGACCCAUGUUGACUAAGCCGUGGCGAGGAAUGAGCUUAAAUGACCGGCUUCCAGGGACGUAGAAACACGCUCAGAACCCACGUGGAUACCCUGUAGCCUUCACUUCCUCUUCUUCUGGCGUCACUUCCGGAUUCGUGUGCAUUACUAUGAACCUGAGUCUUGAGGCAUCAUCUGGGCUCAUGCCCUCUCUGAAACAUAAAUCCUGUACUCCACAGACACCAGCUGAGCCGGGAGAUCUGAACAUCAGGCAAUGAGUUUGCAAGAUGGUUUAACAACUAUGAACAUGUGGUGUCCUCACAGGAAUCCUGUGGGCUGAACAGCAGCCGCCCCUCCUUCCACCCAGCACAAAACUUGGUUUGCCCCGCUCACUCUAAAUCUGGGCCUUCAAUGAAUGUUCAGUGGAGUUCUUCUGUGGAAAAAAAUAAAUGGGAAAGGAAG
rnacentral:lncRNA from 1 species